CGUGAAAACAGCGCAAAAAAUUGAACAAAUGACAAGUGAAAGAAGUGCACGGACAAAGCGCUGACUUUCAGCUAAAGUUUAAUUUUUAGAGGAAUUAUUAAACUAAACAUUAAACUUUAGUUGACAGUCAGCGCUUUGUCCGUGCACUUCUUUCACUUGUCCUUUGUUCAAUUUUUUGCGCUGUUUUCACG
rnacentral:pre_miRNA from 1 species